AAACCUAAACCUAAAACGUAAAUGUAUUCUCAAAUCCCUGAACCUAAACUUAUAACCUACGACAUUAACAUAAACUUAUAACCUAAACCAUAUGGUGAGACCAUUCCUUGGGAAGUGGGUACUUGUGGCUACCAAUGGUCCUCCUUGCGGAAAUCGUCCAGACGUUUAUUUUGGCCCUACAAACCAUAUGGUGAGACCAUUCCUUUUGUGUCAAUUUCAUUCCUCUUUGAGUUUUUAUUAAUUCAUUAAGACAAAAAAAUGGUUAUACAUGAUGCACUUCUUUCACUUUUUUUUUCUUUCCCCCAAUGGUCAUACUGAUUUAUGAAUGCCAUGACUAUUUGUAAGAUGAUGGAAUAUACGAAGCUGUUACAGGAAGUAACUUUGUCCUUACUAGAGUUGCAUUUCGAGACAACUCUUCAAAGUACUACAUAAAUGACCGUGGAAGUAAUUUUAUAGAGGUUACUAAGAAAUUGAAAGGAAAAGGAGUGGACUUGGACAAUAAUCGGUUUUUGAUUCUUCUGGGUGAAGUCGAACAAAUUUCUCUAAUGAAGCCAAAGAUUUGUAUUUUCAGCAUUAUUGUAAUUGUAAUUGAUUGAAUGAAGGAUUGUAAUUGGUUAUAAUUAUAAUUGAUUGAAUGAAGGAUUGUAAUUGAUUAUAAUGGAAUGAAUGAAUGAUUGUAAU